CAGAUGUGUGUGUUCCUUUAUGGUGACUUUCUCCACAUGCCUUUCAACACCUUCCAUCUGUAGAGAAGCCAACCUGCUCAAGUCAAUACUUGUCAUCCUCGAGGAAGCAGCCAUACUGUGAGCAGCCCUACAGAUAGAACCACAUGGUGUGAUGAGGAGCUCAGGCCUUCUGUCCAACAGCACAAGAGGAACUGAGACUCUCGAGCCAACAGCCUGCAAGGAACUGAAGCCUGCCAACAACCAUGUGACCAAGCUUGGAAGCUAGUGCUUCAGCCUCAGUUGAGUCUUGAGAUAACUGCAGCCCCAGUCAACAGCUUGACUGCACCCUCCUGAGAGAUCUUGAGUGAAAGGCACGUAUGUAACCAGCCCCCAAAAAUCAAGAAAUGAAACGUUACCAGAGCUGAAGUCUCCCUUGCACCACUUCUAGGUAUCUUAGAUUAUUUUUAUCUGUUUUAGAACUUUAUAUAAAUGGACUCAUAAAGUAUAUAUGCUUUAGCGUCUGCCUUCUUUUGUUCAAUAUUACAUUAGUGAGAUUGAUCAGACUGUUGUCUGUAGUUGUGGUUCAUUCAUUCUCAUUGCGGUAUAUUAUUCCAUUGAGUGAAUGUACUAUUUCUUUAUUUAAUUAUUUAUGGACAUUUGAAUUGUUUCUAGUUUGUUGGCUAUUACAAAUAGUGCUGCCAUGAUCAUUACUAUACCAAAGAAAUUGCCCAUUAGAAUUCUGUUUUGAAUUAUAAUAAACCC
rnacentral:lncRNA from 1 species